rnacentral:lncRNA from 1 species
AGUCGGGCCGCCCGCUUGCUGCACGGCAGCCGUGGGACUGGCACAGGCUCCUCGGCAGCAUUAUGGGCAGCUGGUAGAGCGGCCACUUCUGAGAGCCGGAUGGGCCUUCCGAGGUCGGGCCGUGCCCCGCUGGGCAGCGCAGAGGGGGUGUGUAGGGCACGCGACUUGGAGCCAGGUCCAGACCCAUCCUGGCUCCUCUCAGGGCUCCUUCCCCUGCCCCCAUUCCACCCCAGCCCUGCUGGCUGUCCCGCAGGACCCAGCGCCGCGGUAGCCUUCUCUGAACUGCGGCUCAGGCGGAGGUGUCACUCCUGCCUCCAGCCCAGGAGGGCAGGUCAGGUUAUGCAACGCGUGCCGCGCGAUCUCCCCCCACCUCCAACCCCCUUUUCUCCCGGGUCCACACCGCAGUUCCCACCGCUCCGGGUGUCCUCCCCAGUGCGCCGCGAUUUUUGUGUCCAAGCCCCAGAGUCCCUCUGAGACCAACCCCCAGCCAGCACAGACUUCCUGCCUUCCCAGCUCGGAAGCGCCCUCGAGAAGUGUCUAAAGGAGACAGUUGAUAGCCAAACAACAGUUUUGGAUUCACUGACUGAUUAUGAAAGAAGCAGUAGACUGGUAUC